rnacentral:rRNA from 1 species
AUUGAACGCUGGCGGCAGGCCUAACACAUGCAAGUCGAGCGGAGCGGCGGACGGGUGAGUAAUGCCUAGUAAUCUGCCUGGUAGUGGGGGAUAACGUCCGGAAACGGGCGCUAAUACCGCAUACUAUAAGAGGCGCCUAGGUCGGUUUAGCUAGUUGGUGGGGUAAAGGCCUCCCAAGGCGACGUUCCGUAACUGGUCUGAGAGGAUGAUCAGUCACAGUGGAACUGAGAAACGGUCCAGACUCUGACGGUAGGGAGAGGUGGGGAAUAUUGGACAAUGGGCGAAAGCAUGAUCCAGCCAGGCCGCGUGUGUGAAGAAGGUCUUCGGAUUGUAAAGCACUUUAAGUUGGGAGGCGUUACCAACAGAAUAAGCACCGGCUAACUUCGUGCCAGCAGCCGCGGUAAUUC